GUGAAUCAUCGAAUCUUUGAACGCACAUGGCGCCUCCCAGUAUCCUGGAAGGCAUGCCUGUCCGAGCGUCGUUUCAACCCUCGAGCCUUAGUGGCCCGGCGUUGGGGAUCUACGCACUGUCGUAGGCCCUGAAAAUCAGUGGCGGACCCGUGGCGGCCCUUCCUUUGCGUAGUAGCUUUCGCCUCGCAUCGGGAGCCCUCGGGCACCGGCCUCUAAACCCCUAAAAGCCCGCCUAGGCGGCACAAGGUUGACCUCGGAUCAGGUAGGAAUACCCGCUGAACUUAAGCAUAUCAAUAAGCGGAGGA
rnacentral:misc_RNA from 1 species